UGAAGGAAGUGCAGAAACCCAUCGGAACACGAUGACUAAGAUGCAGGGCAGCUCUGGGACAGUCGCUGAUUGAAACAUCCCUGAGUUCUCUGAGCAUCAAACAUGCCUGUGAGAUCCUUGAUUACACUGCAGGCCUUCUCUCUCAAGCAGAUGCACUCUUAUCCUUUGAGGCUGCAGAUGCCAGGGACAUGCUUCCAUUGCAGCAUCAUCAAGAUGGCUUGGGAUCAAGAUGACUUGGGCGCACUAUCCUCCCUACCAGGCCCUGAGCAACACCAUCAUUUCUCAUUCCUAAUUCCCAGGAGAGCAUGGCACAGAGAGGUGCUCAGCAUCUUCCUGAGACUUAUAGAAGAAGCCAAGGAGCUGAGAGCAGCAGAGACAAGAAACAGAGGGAGAGUGAGAAAGUCCCGGGGAACCCAGUCUAAGUCACGAUCCAUUCUGGAAGACCUUAACACUUUCCACUGACUGUGAGAGCUGCCGAAUACAUUUUGACCCAUGGGUGGUUCCUGUCCUUGGUGAUUCCCCGACCUCUGGUGAGAUCUUUUCCUCUCUGGCAAGCCUCUGGAUGUUCUGACUUCAGAGGGGUUCUGGCUGCAGCUUUAACUCAGCCAUAUGUUGUGACAGCUCUUGGAGCAGCAUUACACGGGAGCAAUAUCCUUCCUGCUAAUUGGAUCUCAGAAUUCAUUUUCGGACCAAAGACAUCAAAUAAACCCAGGAAAUACGAAGCCGUUUGCAGUUAUGACUUGAGACGAAUUGAGUUGUUCAUCCUCUAAAGUUGUGUUCUGUUCCUUAUCAGCCUCAUCUGAAAUCUCAGACACAAAAGCAGAGAUGUUUCUGCCAGGAGGGGCGGAAAGUUCGGUCUGGUUUUGAUAUGUGUCUGGAGAUGAUAAACUUGGGAAGGGAAAUAUAGCAGAUCCAAUCCUCCCUCCCCCAUCUCCAUUAGGUCUUUGGCCUUGAUAGAUUUCAAUAUCCUGUGCAGCUGAUGUCUGACCCACGCAUCAAGAAUACAGCCUUCACACACCUGCCGUGAGAAGCCCUCUAUGACCUUCUGCAGAGGGAGGGAACUGCCUAAGAGCUGCUGAGUGCAGGAAUGCAGGGUGCUAAGAAGCAGGUACCCAGUUUGGGGUUAAAAUAUGUAUAAUAUAUCCAUUUGAAUACCCAUCAAUAAAUAUCAGUCAUGCUCACUUUUGGGUGCUGGGGGUUAUUGGAGAUAUUGAUUCAUUUGUUUUAUGAGUGG
rnacentral:lncRNA from 10 species